UACGUAGGGUGCAAGCGUUGUCCGGAAUUAUUGGGCGUAAAGAGCUCGUAGGCGGUUAGUCGCGUCUGCUGUGAAAACUCGGGGCUUAACUCCGGGCCUGCAGUGGGUACGGGCUGACUAGAGUAUGGUAGGGGAGACUGGAAUUCCUGGUGUAGCGGUGAAAUGCGCAGAUAUCAGGAGGAACACCGGUGGCGAAGGCGGGUCUCUGGGCCGUAACUGACGCUGAGGAGCGAAAGCGUGGGGAGCGAACAGG
rnacentral:rRNA from 1 species